rnacentral:tRNA from 1 species
UUUAAUAUGGCAGAUUAGUGCAAUAAAUUUAAAAUUUAUAUAUAUAAUUUAUAAUUAUUAUUAAAA